rnacentral:tRNA from 1 species
GCGAGCAUCGUAUAAUGGCUAUUAUCCCUGCCUUCCAAGCAGGAGAUACGGGUUCGAGUCCCGUUGCUCGCUCCA